UGCGCGUCUGGGGCCUGUGCUCCACAACAGGAGAGACCACAACAGUGAGAGGCCCUCGUACCACACAAAAAAAAGACAAAAACAAAAACUUAAAGGGCCAUACUUGUGCUCAUAAUAACAAUCAAUAGAACUUUAGUUCUCAGAAUAGGGUUUGUAAAAUUAUUUUUAUAUAAAUGUUAUAAUUAAAUUAUUUUUACUUAAUUUUUCUCUAUAUAUAAUAUAAAUAUUAUGUUUUAUUUAAUUAUACAUGCAGUUUAUCAAUAGCAUACAAUUCCAAGAGGAUUCUAUAGUUCUUUAGAGGGUCCCAAGCAGGAUUGAGCCUGAGCUGUACAGGGUGAUAACCAUUCAAUGACACACAUUUUAUUGGCUUUCUCUUCUUGCCUGUAUCACUCUCCAUUUUCUGGGAUUACCUUCCAAAUAAGUUACAUGCACCUGAGAGUAUGUCUCCGGCUCUGCUUUCAGGGGAAACUAAGCUAAGACGGACAUUGUAAUGUACAGCCAGCCACACAAUAUAUAACUAGGCCCUUCGGGCUGACUUUCCCUUGCCUUCUACUACAAGGGGUGUGGACACUGUCAUCAAUAAAUGAAACUUAGUCACAUCUUUCUGAACUGUAGUCCCCGUUGUUAGAAAGACAGCAUGUAAUGGGGACAGUGUCAUCUCCAGGAAGUGGAUGCCUCCGGUCCAUGAAUUCUCUAGACCCCUCCCAUCCUGCCCCCUUUCACACGUUCCUGAAUGUAUCGGUCACAUUAAAUCAAUGAGACUAACUGAGCUGCUCCUUCCUUAUUCCACUGUUUCUCUGACAUCACCCAGGAAAUUACUGGAACCUUUGGUCUUAGCUGUCCCUCAACUGUGGUGCCGUCUCAACCAGUGUCUGCCAGGCUAGUAAUUCGUUUUCAGUAGAGAAGUAGCAAGCAGCUACAUUGGGUAAUUUUAGGGGCCAAGAGCCUCAAGUUCUACACUUAAGCCAAUCCUGAUAUACGUCAGAGACCAUCUCAUUAGAGCAUUUAUUGCACCCCAUCAAUCUUGUGGUGCAAUAAACAAGACCGAGCAGAGUACAGCAUAGAAUACCAAGCAUGAACACCGUCUUUUUUUUUCUUUUUUUUUUAAUCACCUGCAGCCUUUCAGGCCAACAUAUGCUUCUCUGAACUGAGAGCUUCGGAAGUAGCAUAAAUGUUAGUGGCAAGCAUCUCUGGGACUUAUGCUCACAGGCCUUUAGAUUGCCAAUAAAGGCGAUCUUGCAGAGACAUUCUUAAAAGUCUAGUGAUUUUUGGCUCUCUGUUCUUAUUUAAGAGAGAAACACCAAAAAUGGCUUGGAAACUUGGCCAGGAUGUUAACUAGUGGCUUCACUGUACAGUUUACUGUAGAUCUGUACUCAGGCCUUACUUUGUAGAUGCCCAAAUGUUAGCAUCUGUAGGGUUUUUUUCUCUUGGGCUAGUUUUCUGUUUGUUUGUACUGUUGUUAUUGUUCUGUAUUUCAGGAGAGGGUGUAAACCUGGCUGCUAUUAUUCUAGGAGCUGAGUAAGGGCAGGGGACUAAAGUUCUCACAACUCAGUAUGUAAAAUUUAACUUUACCUCCCUGUUUUACCUUUUGUCUUACUUCCCUGAAAUAUUCCUGAGGCUAGAGCUCUGUUUCGAUUUUUCCAGUGAGAAUACCUGGAAUGUCUUCUUCUGUUGGGGUGGGAAAGGUUUAGGUGCCUGGCUAUGCAAUGUUAGGGCUGGCAUCUAGAGAGCUAGCUGCUUUUUAUUAGACUUUCAACUAAUCUUGUUUUUAAUCCACACCCCAUUCAAAGUGACAGGUGCCUCCAAUUCUGCAGCCGUUCUUGUCUUGCUUUAUGGCUUUUCCGAUGGCAGAUGCUUAAAUUUCAGCUUUCUCUGCUUUUUUAAGUUUCCACUUGUCCACCUGCUUGCCAUUUUCCAAGUUGUAUUCUAGCAGCAAAUCACCUAUCUGAAAAGACUACCUAUCUCAGCCUCCUUUGCAUAUAGUUCUGGCCAAAGGGGAUAUGCUAUGAGAAACAUCAGGAAUGGCCCCUUAACGGGAUUUGAUUCGGCUGUGGAGCACAUCCUUUUAUCCUUCUCUUCUCCCUUCUUCCUACUGCCUGGAAUGUGGACAUGAUAGCUAGAAUGCCAGCAAUUAUCCUGAACUCAUGAGGGAACCUUGAGGAAGGAAGCCACAUACUGAGGAUGACAGAGCAGAAAUAUAGAAGCCUUGGUCCCUGGUGGCUGUGGAGUUACCCCAGACUAACAGCAGACUUCUUUUAUACUAACAGUAAUUCUGAUAAAUUCUAUCAUGUACAAUUUCCUUCAAAAGAGGGGGAAAGACUAUGAUACAUUGAUAAUUGUGUACAUUGCAUUACUGAGUAUGUUGCCGACAGGACAGAACUUCUUUUUGACCAGGAGGAUAAAAAUAGACUUCUCUCUCCCUAACAAUUUUACAUAUCUAGUGAUUGGAAGAAUUUCCAAUAGACUGACUCAUACCUCCUUUCCUUUUAAUCUUUGUAUAUAUGGUGCCAUCCACUGCAGUAUAAAGUCACAUUGCAAUGUAACCUCUGGCCCUGCACCUUUACAUGACAGGAUCCCAGGUGAGUUGGCACAGAGGGCAGUAGGAAUAUUCCUGGGAGCCAUUUCUAUUCCUGGAUGGCUAGCAAUACUUACCUCUACACAGAAAUACUGCACCACACAUAAUCACAUUCCACGAAACCCAAACCAAUGUAUGCUCAGUUCAACUUCCCAUUAACUGGAUCCCAUUAACUGGCCACACUGUGGCCAUUCCAAUGUGACAUGACUAAGGGAAGUCUAUCAGAAGGAACAUCAGAAUGGAAGGAAAUAGAGGUCUUAACUGAUCGUGAUGGAAAUAUCUUCGGCGAAUUUUACUCAAACAUAUGACCACAUGAGAUCAUUUCUAGGCCCUUAAUGGGCUUGGAAGGAGUCCGUGUAAGUGAGGGACCCUGAAGCUUAAGCUCCAUUAGCUUCACAGUAUAUUUGCCUUGGGUAGGACAGGUGGAAUAACAUUUAACAAACAGGAACACUUAGUUUAUUUAUGCUGUUGCAACCACAGUACCAGGAGAAACAACAGUCACUAUGCCCAAAAUUUCUUGUGUUGAAUGGGACUUGGGGACAUUCUUUUAUUCACAAACCCAACACUUCUCUGUGGUCUUAAUCACUGGCUUCUGCAUAAAUUCCUCCCAAAUUUCACUUCUGUUUCUCCUUCUUUUUUUUUUUGUGGUUGCAGGAACUUCAAACUGUGAGGUCUCAUCCUCUUUGUUGGACCUAUUUCCAAGUAUCUUGCUGACCAAGACACAUUCUUAGCAAAUGAGUCAUGUUUACCUAAACCUGCUAAUUCAGUACAAUUUAUUUCUAACUUAUUAAUACACAAAGUAGUUUUCAAACACAUAUAUCCACAUGAUGCUUUAAUCCUUUAUAUAACUUCUAUCCAGAUAUAUCAUGCAAAAUUUUAUACUCAGAAAAGUUCCAUGUUUUAUAUACUUAUUAAUUUUAUAAAUUUCCUCAGAAUAUAUUCUUCUUUUGAUCAAUUCUACACUUCAUUAUAAGUUAAAGAAAAUGGCAGUGUAGCAAUGGGAUGGUGGAUGAUUUCUCUGGUAUGAGUAGCAGAGGCUAAAAGUAGAACCAUUACUACAGUACUUUCACCUUACAGAGCAGUCGAUAUUUUUCAUAAGAUUUUUCCUCUGGAUUGUUCUGCCAGCUUUUUAGGUUUUUCAACCUCCACAGGCUUGCUGUACUAUCAGAAUCGUGGGUUGGUUUAGCUGAUUCUCUGUAGAGAAUAACUGCUAAUAAUUGCUGUUUCAGAAAACAAGUCAACCAAAGUUAACUAACAAACACUUGCUGAGAUUCUAUAUUGAUUUAAAAAUAUACAAUAAAGCUAAUGGAAAUAUUAGUACCGUCCAAAAGGGACAUAAGAAGCACUUUAUAGAAAGAAUUUAGGAAUUUGAAACUAGAUUCUAGGUUAACGUUUGAGGAGUUUGUUUAUUUCACAGUGUUAGUAUGUGAAGAUCAAAUUCUCUUGGCUUAGCAGCUGUGAUGGAUCAUCCUAUUGUGCAAUGUAGAAACUCAGGUUUAAUAUGAUCUCACAUAAAACUCAUUUAGCCAUUAAUUGAAAAUAGACAAAUAGGCUGGUCAUGGAUUGGCAAUUUUGGCCUUUUUACUUAUUUAAUUUAGCCUAGUUUGUUUUCUUCAACUUCACCUUCAUUGAGCAUUCCUGGGUUAAAAAAAUGCAUAUUUGUUUGUGUGUUUAAUUGUAUUUAUUGCAUUUAAUUUUAAAUGCAAUACAUUUUAAUUAAAAAAAUAAAGCUAUUUAAAUAAGACUACAGCAGUAGUAACAUUUCACAGCUGCAAAAUGUCUCCUUAUUCCCCCUCUUUUUCUCUGUCUCCCCUUCAUACACAUUGCAUUGUUUCUCUUAAUAGUUUCUCUAGUAUUCUAAAAUUAUGUGGCAUAAGGUCUGUCUCUUUUAAUGAUGAAUAUAAACCUUGGACAUUUCAGUGUAGUAACUUUGACUUCAGGCCUUUUAUUCCCACUUCAAAUAUAAUUUUGGUUCACUUCCAUUCAGUGGUAUACACUGUUCCACGAUUAACUUUGUUCUGUGCUGAACUCUGGUACUAAAUGUUAUGUUCAAAUCUGGGCUUCAAAGCUUUCAAAGCAACAUGAUAGAUCCAUAUUACAUGUCCUCAUGAUUGCAGAUCUCGGCAUGGUCAAGUGUUCCUGGAGAAAGAAGCUGACCUCUUGGCAACAACAACUCUUGGAGAUGGAAGGUCAUUUGAGGACAAAGUGAGAAAAUGGCUGUCUGCAAGCCAGGAAGAGAGGCCUCACCAAAUACCAAUCCUGACAGCAACUUGAGCUUGGACUUCUAGCCUCCAGAGCGGUGAGAACCUGAAGGACCCAAGGAGACACGGGUAAAGUGUCAAGGACCUGGAUGAGAUCCAUCUCUUGUUGCUACAUAAACAGAGGCUACACAAUUCACAGGCAUGUUUUUAAAAUGCGAACUCGGGCUUCCCUGGUGGUGCAGUGGUUAAGAAUCUGCCUGCCAAUGCAGGGGACACGGGUUCGAGCCCUGGUCUGGGAA